rnacentral:lncRNA from 1 species
UCAAUUUAAGGUUUAUUUAAUUCUAAACUUUUUGUACUAUUAAAAUAAUAAGUUUUUAAAUUAAAAGAAUUAUAAUUAGAUUUGAAAUAUUGUUCUUCCACUUUAUUCGAUGUUUAUUGUUAUAGUUAGUUAUUCCGCAUUAAUCUGUUCUCAGUUACCCUAUAUAUACCCAUCCAAGUUACAAUUGUCCGAGUUAUUAAAAAA